GGAGUAAAAGCUAAUGAUAACCGAACUAUUCAGGGCUUUGUCAAAGAUUAUGUUGAUGAAUAUGUUGGUGGACUUAAUCUUACGGCAUCGACGAGGCAACAGCAGCUUUCUGAUAAUAGCAGUGUGCAGGACAUCGUGAAAGAUUAUGUGCGUUCGUUUACAGGUGGUUUCAAUUUUUCAUCGCGACAAUCUCAAACACGGACUCCCAAUAACCGCACUAUACGGAGCCUUGUCAAAGCAUACGUAGACGAGUUUGUUG